CCCGCGCCGCCGCCGGACGCCGCCGCCAACCUCCAGCCCAAGCUGGAGGAGCCGGAGCAGGCCGACUCGGGCAACCUGACCGACAUGGAGCACUGCCAGCUGGAGCUGAUCGACCCUGUGCGGCUAGAGCCCAUCAGUCCGCGCAAAAAGGUGAUACCUCUGGAGCAA